UACGUAGGGGCGAGCGUUGUCCGGAUUUACUGGGCGUAAAGGGUGAGUAGGCGGUUGUAUAUGUCAGGUGUAAAAGGCUAUGGCUUAACCAUGGUUAGCACUUGAAACUGUACAACUUGAGUGCAUGAGAGGUAAGUGGAAUUCCUAGUGUAGCGGUGAAAUGCGUAGAUAUUAGGAGGAACACCAGUGGCGAAGGCGACUUACUGGACUGUAACUGACGCUGAGUCACGAAAGCGUGGCUAGCAAACAGGAUUAGAUACCCCCGUAGUCCCU
rnacentral:rRNA from 1 species